rnacentral:rRNA from 1 species
GAUGAACGCUAGCGAUAGGCUUAACACAUGCAAGUCGAGGGGCAGCAUGGUCUUAGCUUGCUAAGACUGAUGGCGACCGGCGCACGGGUGCGUAACGCGUAUGCAACUUGCCUCACAGAGGGGGAUAACCCGUCGAAAGACGGACUAAUACCGCGUACACUCUAUUUUGGGCAUCCAAGGUAGAGGAAAUGAAAUUCGCUGUGAGAUAGGCAUGCGUCCCAUUAGCUAGUUGGUGAGGUAACGGCUCACCAAGGCGACGAUGGGUAGGGGAACUGAGAGGUUGACCCCCCACACUGGUACUGAGACACGGACCAGACUCCUACGGGAGGCAGCAGUGAGGAAUAUUGGUCAAUGGGCGAGGGCCUGAACCAGCCAAGUCGCGUGAAGGAUGACUGUCUUAUGGAUUGUAAACUUCUUUUGUAGGGGAAUAAAGAGGGGCACGUGUGCCCCAGUGAAUGUACCCUACGAAUAAGCAUCGGCUAACUCCGUG